GCAACAUUCGGACCGUCGGUCUACCGAGCAAUAUCACCCGCUCGGUGGAAGAUCUUCCCUUUCGUCGU
rnacentral:pre_miRNA from 1 species